AGGUCUUCAGCGUUGACCGCACGUACUGGUAAUUACCACGGCUUUCAUCUGUCGUCAGUACUGUGCCUUGUGCUCAGCAGAAGCCACCAAAGACGAACCCGGCCGCCCCGUCGCCUUCACAGCCCACGAGCCACGCUUUGACCAACCGGCCGCUGCUCAGGCCGGAGGAGAGGCGCUAUCCGGUCAAGCAUUACAUCAAGGAGGCCAAACGGCUGAAGCACAGAGCAGACGCAGAGCCGGAUAAGCUCCGGAAGGCCUUCAGCUACCUGGAGGCGGCCAUGUUCUUUGUGGAGAGCGGCAUCGCCAUGGAGAAGGACCCGCAGAUUUCUACGUCCUCCUACACCAUGUUUGCGGAGACGGUGGAGCUCCUCAAGUUCGUGCUGAAGCUGAAGAGUUCAGGGGAGUCUUCCUCCUCUCCCUCAGAAAAGGACUUCUUGUCUCUAUGGUGAGAAGCAGAGGA